rnacentral:rRNA from 1 species
AGUGAACGCUGGCGGCGUGCUUAACACAUGCAAGUCGAACGAGAACGGGUUAUAGCUUGCUAUAAUUGUCAGCUAAGUGGCGCACGGGUGAGUAAUGUAUAGGUAAUAUGCCUCUUACUAAGGGAUAACAAAUGGAAACGUUUGCUAAUACCUUAUACUCCUUAUUAACAGAAGUUAAUAAGGGAAAGAUUUAUUGGUAAGAGAUUAUCCUGUAUUGUAUCAGUUAGUUGGUGGGGUAAUGGCUUACCAAGACUAUGACACAUAACUGGUUUGAGAGGAUGAUCAGUCACACUGGAACUGAGACACGGUCCAGACCCCUACGGGAGGUAGCAGUGGGGAAUAUUGCACAAUGGACGAAAGUCUGAUGCAGCAACGCCGCGUGGAGGAUGACACAUUUCGGUGCGUAAACUCCUUUUAUAUGAGAAGAUAAUGACGGUAUUAUAUGAAUAAGCACCGGCUAACUCCGUGCCAGCCGCCGCGGUAAGAC